rnacentral:rRNA from 1 species
UGCGUAGGUGGCAAGCGUUAUCCGGAUUUACUGGGUGUAAAGGGCGUGUAGGCGGGAGAGCAAGUCAGACGUGAAAUUCCAGGGCUCAACCCUGGAACUGCGUUUGAAACUGUUCUUCUUGAGUGAUGGAGAGGCAGGCGGAAUUCCGUGUGUAGCGGUGAAAUGCGUAGAUAUACGGAGGAACACCAGUGGCGAAGGCGGCCUGCUGGACAUUAACUGACGCUGAGGCGCGAAAGCGUGGGGAGCAAACAGG